rnacentral:rRNA from 1 species
UACGGGGGGGUGCGAGCGUUGUCCGGAAUCACUGGGCGUAAAGCGCACGUAGGCGGACUCUUAAGUCGGUGGUGAAAUCCUGGAGCUCAACUCCAGAACUGCCUUCGAUACUGAGAGUCUCGAGUCCGAGAGAGGUGAGUGGAACUGCGAGUGUAGAGGUGAAAUUCGUAGAUAUUCGCAAGAACACCAGUGGCGAAGGCGGCUCACUGGUCCGGUACUGACGCUGAGGUGCGAAAGCGUGGGGAGCAAACAGG